rnacentral:misc_RNA from 1 species
UACGGGGGGGGCAAGCGUUGUUCGGAAUUACUGGGCGUAAAGGGUUCGUAGGUGGCUGGUUAAGUCAGACGUGAAAUCCCUCAGCUCAACUGGGGAACUGCGUCUGAGACUGAUCAGCUUGAGUGCAGGAGAGGAACGCGGAAUUCCAGGUGUAGCGGUGAAAUGCGUAGAUAUCUGGAGGAACACCGGUGGCGAAGGCGGCGUUCUGGACUGCAACUGACACUGAGGAACGAAAGCCAGGGGAGCAAACGGG